GUCUGUCAAGGUUCCACGUAUUAGGCGGUAAUCACUCCUGAAUACCCUUAAAGUAGAACUUGAUCGCGUGCUUCUUGUGCGUAACGUCGAUGUAUAAACUGGAGACAAUGCGCCACAAUCCCAGCUUUGAGUAUGAUAGUAACCUGAUCACCUUGCCUUAUGAUUAACGGAACAUACUGUCUGUAUUCUCCUCCUUAGGCAGCCAUUGCUCGCCUAGAAACCUGACGUCUUAAAUAGGGGUGACCCAAAGAAGGAGGAACCAGACACACACAAGGGGUGCACUUAGAUGUUUUUUAAGGUGUUGAUUUGGAUGAAAUAACUGGACUUAGCACUUAGCUGGUUUUCAAAGUGUUAUUUUGGCUGAAAUAACUGGACUUAACACUUAGCCGGUUUUCAAAGUGUUGUUUCGGAUGAAAUAACUGGAUAAUCUCAAGAAUCUAUCGUUUCAGGACCAGUGAGAGAAAUGGCAAAAUCAUUUCAUGUUAGGUGUGUGAGCUGGUGGACAGCGCUGGCCCUGUUGUCCCUUCAGUUUAUGGAAUGCCACAUGUCGGCGUGUCACCAACUAUGUAGCAAAUUUACCGAAAACAACGCUCAGCUGGAAGAAUGCCUCACCAGCGCAUGUCCGCUGGUGUAUCGGAACAGACUGAACCGAUUUGGAAAGCGUUUUCAGGAGGCGUUCUUAAAGGGCAGCUCAUUUGGAGGGGACGCGGACCAGACGAUCGUCCACAAAGAAGAGAACCAAAUCAUCACAUCCCUGGACAAUGGGAACAUUUUGCCGUGGCUCAGUCCCUACGCUCGACUAAGACGACACAUGAUGUUUCCUAGGAAACAAAACAUAAGCAAACCCCAAAAUGAAGAACGUUAGAUGAGAACGUACCAGACAGCUAUAUAAGUAACGCUACUACCACACUACUGUUACAACUGCUAUUAUCGUUUCUACUACCACUGCUACCAACCACCAUUGCCCAGGAACUCACCACAACUUGAGACUGAACGCAAAGUAUGCCCCAAGUCUCAUGUUUCAGGGGUCCUUGGAGUCACUGCUACCCCCAGUAGACUUACGGCGUCCGCCUUGGGCACGUUUGGAACCGUUGGCUGUUGCUACUUUGUCACUUGAUACUUAUUACUUAUAGACAACGAGAAUUAUUCAUGUUUAGAAUAUUAUAUCGCGAGAACGGAGUCAAAAGAGAAGGCAAGUUGUCUGUAUGACUUAAUGCAGACGGUUUGUGUACAUUUCUAGCUUUUUAUGCAGUCAAAUAUACUUUUUUUGUGGCGGAUUAAUUGGUAAUAAUGUUAAUUUAGCCAAAACGUUAUUUCUGGGGCAAAAAUGAAUGAUAAUGUGGGACUUAAUGAACAGAAACUUGUAUAUUGUUUCCUCCUAACUGCAAUGUAUGUAUGUAUAUAUAUAUAAUUGGCGCAUUGCUCUGACGUUCACUCAUAGAAAUGUUUAAGAUAUAAAAUGAUGCAAAACGUUCACUUAAUAUUUUUCUGAUGUUGUAAAAUACUAUACAUCUGCCGCCUUAAUGUUCUUGUAAACACAAAUUCACAGUGUAAGUAACGUCAGAUGUGUCGUAUCAGUACAGUUAUAACAUCACAUAGUUUUAAGCCGAUGAUUUGUUUGUAUCAAAGACAACGGCUUGAUUCCACUCAGUCAAAAUAUUGAAGGUUUGCAAUGCUUCGGAUAAUAUCGCACAAACCUGUGUCUUUAGUGACAUAAGCUACUCGUUGACGCGUGUGAUAUUUCACACGCUGUUGGGAAUCAAUUAUCAACCAGUGCAAUGGGAGGCUUGGUAUUUGACUUGGCUUUGAAAAUGUAAAGACUUCAAUAUUUGUCCAUUUCAUCAGUAUAUGUAAGUCACCUUGACUUCCCGUGGAUAAGUUAGUGGAUUAAUACAAACUUAGUUUAGUCUCCCGCUACGAUCGGUUUGUAGCAGAGCAGAUGUUGACUUUAAAAUUCUGGCGGUAGAUUUUCAGAAAGACAACCAAAUUUAAAGGGCAAAUUACGUUUUUACACGUCGCUGCGUUCUGUUUUAUAUUAAAUGUCUCGCUUGGUUUAAAGUCCAAACAUGUUUGACACACGUAUUGCCAUUUCUUGGGGGAGGGGUUCGGAAUGUAACAUUAAACGAACAUUUAAGUUCAUUAAGAUAUUUCAAUAGUUACAUUGUGUUACGUUUUCAGUUAUUCAGCUUUAUGGCAACCGGAAAAAUAGUAAUAUACCGAAUAUAAGAUAUUGAUAACUAAAAUAUUAACAGUUAUAAAUUAACGAAAUAUAACUUUAUGUUCCUCUUAGUCUAACGUUUAUAACACCUCUUGUAUUUGUGGAGUUCCGUACUAAAAUGAGGGUCCAGCGCCAGAGGAAAACAUUUCGUGACGUCACAUGUAAUCUCCCAGAAAAGCUGAUAAUAAAUAGGUUUUUAUCCAUUUACUUGCCGACUGACUGCCUUCUUUUUUAUCAUACUACCUCGACCUCGACCAAGAUACGUCUUCCCAAACGACUAAACUGCUACCAUUUUAUUCGAUCAGCUUAUUAUUUAUUGGCCCAAGUUUUUUUUUUUAAUUCUGACGCAAUUUUACGAAAACCGCUGACUCCGAAUUGCACAUUUGGACUCUCAUUUUUCUACUGAGCUCCGCAUACAUCUGGCUAUUCUAAUACAAUGUAGCUGGUAAGGCUUAAUUUUUAACUGCUAGAGACCGUAGAUAAUGAUACUCAAUAUUCUCCACCAAAUACUGGUAGCAGCAAGAUAUAAAUUGAAUUGAGUUCAGAUAAAUCCAUAUUUUUAUGUUAAAAGUGGGAAGCUAGUGUUUUUGUUUUCAAUCACCCGAUAUAUACA
rnacentral:lncRNA from 1 species